ensembl:lncRNA
AUCUCUCUUUGGAGAUCCCUCCUUUUGAGAGCUUUCCCUUGCAAUCAUAGAAUCUUCUGUUGCUGUAGUUACAAGGAUGCAAGCUGUCUAGGGGUAAAGCAGGGCAUUAAUUUUCCCCCAGAUUACUUCUGCCUCAUUCAUGUUAGAAUUAAGGUACCAGGACAAACUCCAGGAUGAACACGGUAUUAGAGGCCUUGGCUUGGAAACCAGCAUCAUUCCUUCAUGUCAAACCCUGCACAUUCUGCUGUGAGAGACCGAAGAGCAGCAGUGGGAGCUAUGUGCUGAAUGCCUAACCAUCUCAGAAGCAUUAGAAUUGUUAUUUGCCCAUUCAGAGGAUUUCCUUGCUGCAGAACCCAUUCAAAGAGCUGUGUAUAAACACAUCAGUGGCUAUGCUGAGAAAAUCCAGGCCUCUUAAUAUUGAGAGCACAGCAAGCAUUGUGGCAGUGCUGAAACAACACCCAUUGUUGGCGGCUGCAGCAGUCCAGGACUUCUACCUGCAGAAUCCUGCUGAUGUGCAGCCUGUGCAGCAGAAGUUUGCCCCAGGCAGGAGCAAUGGAUACGUGCUGCUCCUUCUGUCCCACCCCUCAGCACAAGGACCAUGAGCUGGGCAUGAAGCUGCGAGAAGUUUGAAUAGCAGUCGUCAUGAAAUGUGGCUGUGAAAAGCAAGUGGAUGAAGAACGGCAUACAUUCCUGCUUGUGUGUUGGAUUGAAUAGGGAGAAAUGCAAGGCUCUGCGGAGUACUUUUAAUUAUUGCAUAUGACAGAAUGUUACUUCCAGCAAUCUGUUAAUAAGCUAGAAAGGUAAGAACUACGUGUAAUUGGUGAAUGCACAGUACCUGUGAGUACUUCAACUAGGUUUGUGUUUCUCUUUCUGACUGUCAAAAAAGUCAGAACCCUUUCGCCUUUGUGCACUUAAUAUAGGUGCUGUGCCUUCUGCGUAUGAGUAUUAAUUUCUCUACUAUGCUUUUAGUAAAAGUUGUGGCUUCAGUAACUAUUUGUCUUGGUUUUGUAAAGUAUUAAGCUAUUCCAAGAGUUAAGAGGUGACUGAAAAGCGUUACUCAUCUGGUUGGCUGCAGAAAUUGUUUACGCUUCAUUGAGAUUCAAUCCCAGUGAAUGACAAAUAAGAAGUAAUCUGUCUCCUUUACUCGAGAAGGCAGCUGGCUAUGACUAUCUCCAAAAGAUCCAAUCCAAAGAAAUAAAUCAUUGCAAAAAUAUCUGAGGAUUUGCCAGUUCAAAAUACCUUGACUGCUAGUUGCUCAAAGUUUCAGUGUGCGCUGUUUGGGAUCUGCUUAUCUGAAUGUUUACCAAGACAAAAUAAGCAUUAAGAACAGAGGAAGCAGAAGAGAAAUAAGCUUUGGAGACAUCAACAAGGAAUGUUACUAACUUACUGUCUUUGGCUACUAUUGUCUGUGUAGUACACUGGUAGUUCCCCAUGGUUUGCUUGUCUUCUUUACUUCUUUGCGUAGAAGGAAAAAUGUGGAACACAUAUGGAGUGUCAGAUAGUGUUGGCAUGGCAAUGCAAACAAAAAUCUGUUUCAGUAAAGUGAAUUUUUCAUUUAGCUCUGAAGUGUGUCCUGGUGAUGAAAACUUGACACUGCUAUGGGCAACAUUUGAUGUGAAUGAACUUGAGAGAAGCGGCUUGUCUUCCUCCAGAGGAUGGGGAGCAGGAUGAUGGGGAUGGACUUUUUUUCCCAUUGCAAACAGUUAUUUGUGGUGAGAGAGGGGCAACUGUACCGUCUCUUUGCCUACUUCUGUCGUGUCCUGUGGCUGCUGGGUUUGUUAUUCAUGGGCAGUCACUUCUGGUUGAUGCAACCAGUUCAUUUAUAAUAAGCCGCAAAGUCUAGAGUUCUUAAUUGGCAAGAUAUGCAAUCCAGUUUCUGAUUUGAUAGCAGUAGGUCAGGAACAUUGUGCAUACAUACACCAGAUCAAGUACUUUGUGUUGACUGUCAGAUGGAAAGUUUUAAAACAUAUGUAAAACCAAUUCCCUGCUAAUACAAAGCUUAACUAGUAUGUGGUCCAUUCUGAUGGCGACAGUAGUUGUGGUUUGUAUAUGAUUUGUCUUGAUGAUGAAACUUUUUCUUUGUAAUUACUACAGGCAAGUUCUGUUAAAGC